rnacentral:misc_RNA from 1 species
UCCGGCUUGUCACCGGCAGUCUCAGUAAAGUGCCCAUCUUUACAUGCUGGCAAUUACCGACAAGGGUUGCGCUCGUUGCGGGACUUAACCCAACAUCUCACGACACGAGCUGACGACAGCCAUGCAGCACCUGUGUAACAGUUCCCUUGCGGGCACUCCCGCAUCUCUGCAGGAUCCUGUCCAUGUCAAGGGUAGGUAAGGUUUUUCGCGUUGCAUCGAAUUAAUCCACAUCAUCCACCGCUUGUGCGGGUCCCCGUCAAUUCCUUUGAGUUUUAAUCUUGCGACCGUACUCCCCAGGCGGUCAACUUCACGCGUUAGCUGCGUUACCAAGACAAUUAAGUCCCGACAACUAGUUGACAUCGUUUAGGGCGUGGACUAC